rnacentral:rRNA from 1 species
UACGUAGGGUGCAAGCGUUAUCCGGAUUUAUUGGGCGUAAAGGGCUCGUAGGCGGUUCGUCGCGUCCGGUGUGAAAGUCCAUCGCUUAACGGUGGAUCCGCGCCGGGUACGGGCGGGCUUGAGUGCGGUAGGGGAGACUGGAAUUCCCGGUGUAACGGUGGAGUGUGUAGGUAUCGGGAAGAACACCAAUGGCGAAGGCAGGUCUCUGGGCCGUUACUGACGCUGAGGAGCGAAAGCGUGGGGAGCGAACAGG